CGGCUGGUCAAGGCUAUGACGAAGACUGUUCUUGUGUUUCUCUGCGAAGGAUUCGAGGAGAUCGAGACCGU
rnacentral:ribozyme from 1 species